GAUGAACGCUGGCGGCGUGCCUAACACAUGCAAGUCGAACGGAGUAUAUGCGCUGAUGAUCGAAGUGCUUGCAUAGAGAGAAUCUUGCAUAUACUUAGUGGCGGACGGGUGAGUAACGUGUGGAUAACCUGGUCCAUCCAGGGGGAUAGCAGCUGGAAACGGCUGGUAAUACCGCAUAAGCGCACAGCAGGGCAUCCUGCGGUGUGAAAAGAUUUAUCGGGAUGGAAUGGAUCCGCAUCUGAUUAGCCAGUCGGCGGGGUAACGGCCCACCGAAGCGACGAUCAGUAGCCGGCCUGAGAGGGCGGACGGCCACAUUGGGACUGAGACACGGCCCAGACUCCUACGGGAGGCAGCAGUGGGGGAUAUUGCACAAUGGGGGGAACCCUGAUGCAGCGACGCCGCGUGGGUGAAGAAGUAUUUCGGUAUGUAAAGCCCUAUCAGCAGGGAAGAUAAUGACGUAC
rnacentral:rRNA from 1 species